GAUGAACGCUGGCGGCGUGCCUAAUACAUGCAAGUCGAGCGAAUGGAUUAAGAGCUUGCUCUUAUGAAGUUAGCGGCGGACGGGUGAGUUACACGUGGGUAACCUGCCCAUAAGACUGGGAUAACUCCGGGAAACCGGGGCUAAUACCGGAUAGCAUUUUGAACCGCAUGGCUCGAAAUUGAAAGGCGGCUUCGGCUGUCACUUAUGGAUGGACCCGCGUCGCAUUAGCUAGUUGGUGAGGUAACGGCUCACCAAGGCAACGAUGCGUAGCCGACCUGAGAGGGUGAUCCGCCACACUGGUACUGAGACACGGCCCAGACUCCUACGGGAGGCAGCAGUAGGGAAUCUUCCGCAAUGGACGAAAGUCUGACGGAGCAACGCCGCGUGAGUGAUGAAGGCUUUCGGGUCGUAAAACUCUGUUGUUAGGGAAGAACAAGUGCUAGUUAAAUAAGCUGGCACCUUGACGGUACCUAACCAGAAAGCCACGGCUAACUACGUGCCAGCCGCCGCGGUAA
rnacentral:rRNA from 1 species